GGCGUAAGGGCUCGCAGGCGGUUUCUUAAGUCUGAUGUGAAAGCCCCCGGCUCAACCGGGGAGGGUCAUUGGAAACUGGGGAACUUGAGUGCAGAAGAGGAGAGUGGAAUUCCACGUGUAGCGGUGAAAUGCGUAGAGAUGUGGAGGAACACCAGUGGCGAAGGCGACUCUCUGGUCUGUAACUGACGCUGAGGAGCGAAAGCGUGGGGAGCGAACAGGAUUAGAUACCCUGGUAGUCCACGCCGUAAACGAUGAGUGCUAAGUGUUAGGGGGUUUCCGCCCCUUAGUGCUGCAGCUAACGCAUUAAGCACUCCGCCUGGGGAGUACGGUCGCAAGACUGAAACUCAAAGGAAUUGACGGGGGCCCGCACAAGCGGUGGAGCAUGUGGUUUAAUUCGAAGCAACGCGAAGAACCUUACCAGGUCUUGACAUCCUCUGACAAUCCUAGAGAUAGGACGUCCCCUUCGGGGGCAGAGUGACAGGUGGUGCAUGGUUGUCGUCAGCUCGUGUCGUGAGAUGUUGGGUUAAGUCCCGCAACGAGCGCAACCCUUGAUCUUAGUUGCCAGCAUUCAGUUGGGCACUC
rnacentral:rRNA from 1 species